CAGUAGCCGCGGGAAUACGUAGGUGGCAAGCGUUGUCCGGAAUUAUUGGGCGUAAAGGGCUCGCAGGCGGUUUCUUAAGUUUGAUGUGAAAGCCCCCGGCUCAACCGGGGAGGGUCAUUGGAAACUGGGAAACUUGAGUGCAGAAGAGGAGAGUGGAAUUCCACGUGUAGCGGUGAAAUGCGUAGAGAUGUGGAGGAACACCAGUGGCGAAGGCGACUCUCUGGUCUGUAACUGACGCUGAGGAGCGAAAGCGUGGGGAGCGAACAGGAUUAGAUACCCCUGUAGUCCCUGUCUCUUAUAC
rnacentral:rRNA from 1 species